AGGGGUAACAGGGGGUGCUUGCACUCCGCUGACGACCGGCGCACGGGUGCGUAACGCGUAUGCAACCUACCUUUUACAGGGGGAUAGUCAAGAGAAAUUUUGAAUAAUACCCCAUACGAUCCCAAGUACACCUGUACUUAGGAGGAAAGUUCCGGCGGUAAAAGAUGGGCAUGCGUCCUAUUAGUUAGUUGGUGAGGUAACGGCUCACCAAGGCGACGAUAGGUAGGGGUCCUGAGAGGGAGAUCCCCCACACUGGUACUGAGACACGGACCAGACUCCUACGGGAGGCAGCAGUGAGGAAUAUUGGACAAUGGAGGCAACUCUGAUCCAGCCAUGCCGCGUGCAGGAAGACGGCCCUAUGGGUUGUAAACUGCUUUUAUACAGGAAGAAACGUACGUACGCGUACCUAU
rnacentral:rRNA from 1 species